GCACUCUUUCCUCUGCAGAGUACUGAAAUACUUUUACAAAGCUGCUGACUGUCGGCUGCAUUGUUGUGGCCGUAGCUCCUGCUGUGAGGAAACAGGAAUGUUGCACCCUGUGGAGGAUCCUCAGAAAUCAGUGACCUUGGGCAGGUGCUGGAGAGGAGUUGCAGGGUGGUAGCACAAUGGACUGUGCCUCUGAUAAAGUGACUGCUGUCACAGAGUGAGCAGUGACAGCAGGUGUACAAGGUUUACAGCACUGUCUCUCUCCGCUUUGAGAUUGUCAGGCCAGCCCACAAAGCAAAAUGAAAUGGAGGAGGAAGAAAAUGUGCUAGUAGUUCUUGCUUAGUUCUAAUUGCAAAGCAGAUUAUUGCCUACUAGUCAGAGCAGGAUGGUGCCUGCUGUCUGGUAAACCUUAUGCAGAAGCAGUGGCGCUUUUGCAUCAUGUACUCCCACCCUCGUCCCCUGCCUGAGAUGGGCUUUAGGGCAUCCACAGCCUCUGGGCAGCCUGGGCCAGGGUCUCAUUGCCUGUGGGGGAGGAAUUUCGUCUACGCAUGUACCUCAGUUUCCACACUUAGAGUUUAAAGCCAUUCCCACUCGCAUUAUCACUGUCUGCCAAUGCCAGGUAACAUGCUAGGUGUGGUAGUGGGUCAGGUAAUGACAUGACAACAGUACAUGAACAACUGUGCUAUUAUUAUAUAUUAUUAUAUUUUUAUUAAUUAUUAUUAUUAUUAUUAUUUAUAGGUAGUGUGGAUCCUGGAAAAAUCUGGUUGAUGACGGCAGUUUUUCUGUGGAUGUCAGAUGGUGCCCGAAAAUCCACACACUGGGGGUGCUCUCACCUCCUGAUGGAUGGUGGAGGAGCGAGAGGGCAGAGGUGGUGCUGGGGGGUGCUGGGCCUGCUCUGUUUUCCCCUGGCAGUUGUUUUUUGGGUGUCUGAUGCCCCGAAGCUGACACCCUGAGGGGGCUGCUCCCACCUCCUAAAUGCUGAUGGAUGGGAGGGGGAGAGCAGCCUGGGAGGGGAGGGGGCUUUGGGACUCCUCUGCUGUACCUUGAAGAAUGAUAAAGACGAGGGCAGAGGUGGUGCUGAGGGGGGCUUGUGGCUGCUGGGGCUGGUCUGUUUGCCCCUGGCAGAUGUUUUUGGGGUGUCUGAUGCCCCUGAGGCUGACACCCUGGAAUGCCGCUCCCACCUCCUAAAGGCUGAUGGACGGCAGGGGGAGAGCAGCCUGGGAGGGGAGAGGGGCUUGGGCAGUCCUGCUCUCUCUUACCUCCUUUCUAAAGAGACCCAUGGAAAGCCUGUUCAUAGGGAUGCAUUUCAGCAAGGCAGCCGUAGCACACUGCCCGUCCCUCUGGAGGAAGGCCAUGACACAAACUGCACUCCGGUAAGGCCGCUCAUGAGCUCCGUGGCCAUGAGCGGUCCCUA
rnacentral:lncRNA from 1 species